rnacentral:rRNA from 1 species
GACGAACCGAGCGAACGUUGUUCGGAAUCACUGGGCUUAAAGGGCGCGUAGGCGGGCUGCCGCGUCCGGGGUGAAAUCCCCCGGCUCAACCGGGGAAUUGCGCGUGAUACUGGCGCACUUGAGGCGGGUAGGGGUGAGCGGAACUCCAGGUGGAGCGGUGAAAUGCGUAGAUAUCUGGAGGAACACCGGCGGCGAAAGCGGCUCACUGGACCUCGAUCUGACACUGAGGUGCGAAAGCUAGGGUAGCAAACGGG